ACCAUGAGGGGAGGAAGUUGAUGGCGACAUCCAGAUUCCAACUGAGCAUUCUGGGGUCUCUUGCUCUGUGCAUAACGUCUGGCUAUCCAGAGCACCUCUGAUAAUGUGCAUGCUGGUAGCUGCUGCCAUUUUGUAUCUCCCAGCUUUUACUUAUACUUCUCUCCUUUUUGGUCUUUGAUUCCAACAUACAUCAUUCUAUCAGUGUGUCACUC